rnacentral:lncRNA from 1 species
UGGAAAGUUGAGCCGCCCAGCAAAGUGAGCAGAGGGAAACUUUGGGCACUUGCACGAGCGCGUCUGGCUCUCCCUCUGCCCCAGGAGCUGCCCAGGGCGGCGGCGGCCGAGGUGGCACCGCUCCCGGUCCGAGGGUCCACUGGUCGCACGGCCUCUGCCCUCGCCCCCCCAGCCCCGGCCCGCGCCACCCCCGCCCGGUGCCCCCGCGCCGCCUGGUCUUCGACCCACGCCUGCCUUGAACCACGCGAUUUCAAACCCCUCCAGGUACCUGGCACAGGAGCGUGGCCCGGGCUGGGCGAGACGCGCAGAGAAGGGCACCUUCCGUCGGGUAAGGCGAGCCGGGGCUGCUCCCGCCGGGGUGCGCGCCUGGCCCUCGCCCGAAGCUGCGGCGAAGCAGCAGGUGGCCGCGCCGCCUCCAGAAAACCCAGGUCUGCGGCCUGGAGUGCGGGACACAGCCGCGGACAGGACCCUCCCGCGGCCGGCCCGGCCCUGCGCCCGGCGCGCUCCCAGCUCCCAGCUCCAAGCUCCCAGCUUCCAGCUGCGGGCGCGCCGGCUCCGCUCGGCUUGGCGGGGGCGGACGCCGCUCCGCUCCCUCGCCGGCCGCCGCGCGCACCUCCCCCGCGGCGCGCCGCUCCCAACGCCGCCUCCACCUCCCGCCGGGCAGCGGAGGGCCGAGACCUCUGGGCGGGGGAGAGGAGGGUGCAGGCGCCGCCCGGGCCUCCGCGGUCCUGCGGGAGGGCGAUCGGGGUACGAGGAGGGCGAUCGGGGUACGAGGAGGGCGAUCGGGGUGCAGGGAGGGCGAUUGGGGUGCGGGUAGGGCUAUCGGGGUGCGCGCCCCCUCCACAGCCAGCGCCGCUCCCCGACCUGCAUCCGCCUGUCAGUGCGGCGGCGCUGUCGCGGCUCCAGACGAGCCGGGGGGCACCGGAGACCCCGAGCGGUCCGCGAGUCAGUCCGGGACCGGCCCAGGGCACCCGCGCGCGUCGGCGGAGAGGCACCCGGGAUUCGAGUCACCCCGAGACCAGCCCUAGAAGUCGGAGGCCUGCGGCAGGCGUGGGCACCGGGGGAAGGAAGUGUGCCUUUGAAUAA